CGCCUUGCCAGCCCGCUCAGAAACUCAAAGGAAUUGACGGGGGCCCGCACAAGCGGUGGAGUAUGUGGUUUAAUUCGAUGCAACGCGAAGAACUUACCUGGUCUUGACAUCCCGGAGACCCUUAGGAAACUAGGGGGUGCUUCCAUCUGGAAGAAUCUGGAGACAGGUGCUGCAUGGCUGUCGUCAGCUCGUGUCGUGAGAUGUUGGGUUAAGUCCCGCAACGAGCGCAACCCUUGCCUUUAGUUGCCAGCAGUUCGGCUGGGCACUCUAAAGGGACUGCCGGUGUUAAACCGGAGGAAGGUGGGGAUGACGUCAAGUCCUCAUGGCCUUUAUGACCAGGGCUACACACGUACUACAAUGGCCGAUACAAAGGGCAGCGACACUGCGAGGUGAAGCCAAUCCCGUAAAAUCGGUCUCAGUCCGGAUUGGAGUCUGCAACUCGACUCCAUGAAGUUGGAAUCGCUAGUAAUCGUGGAUCAGCAUGCCACGGUGAAUACGUUCCCGGGCCUU
rnacentral:rRNA from 1 species